rnacentral:tRNA from 1 species
GCGCCCAUAGCUCAGAUGGAUAGAGCGGCAGACUACGAAUCUGUAGGCCAGAGGUUCGAAUCCUCUUGGGCGCACCA